UGAGUUAGAAACCAAGAGUGAUGUUUAGCAGUGAGCGUUCCAGCUGACUAUCAUGCUCACUGAAAUUGAGAGGCACGCACCUACUCUACGCUCACUCUUCACAUUCCCUAGAGCAUACACCACUCAUCUCUGCUAGUGGAUCACCUCUGAACGCUGUCUGCGCUGGGCUGAGGAUGCUCAUUACUGAAGUUCAAGGUUCUUACUGAUGUCACUGGAAAAUUUGUCUCUGCUCUGAGAAAUCACAGGGGUUAGUCUUUGUGACUCGUGAGGUGACUACACUAACACCUGGUGUUGAUAAGAUGGCAUGAAAACAGCCAGCUCUGGAAGUCGUGCGGAGUGAUGGCUCAGAAGUGAAUAGUGCUUGCUGCUCUUUCCAAGGACCCGAGAUGGGUUACCAGCACCCAUGUUCUCCAGAUCACAGUCUUCGCUAACUCCAGCUCCAGGGCUUCUAACCCCCUCUUCUGGCCUCCAUGGUACCUUUACUCAUGUGCCUGACAUCCUCCCACACAUACUUAAUGAAAAAUUAGAAUUAAAUCUUUAAUAAUAAUAAUAAAGAGUCCCGGAAGA
rnacentral:lncRNA from 1 species